rnacentral:rRNA from 1 species
AUGGCCAAGCCGAGAGCGGUGGUGACCACCGCCUGCGCCUCCGCCUCCGCCGCGCCGUCGACGUCCUACGCGUCGGCGUUCCUGCCGCCGCCCCCGUCGCCGUCCGACGGCGACCUGCUCCGCUCGCUGCACCGCCUGGCGCGCGACCUCUCGGCCGCCGACGCGCCCGCGCCCUUCCUGCGCGCCGCGUUCGCGUCCGUCUCCCGCCGCGCCAGGCUGCUCGCCGCCGCCUUCGACGACCUGCUGCUGUGCGCGGCGGGCGAGGGCGACCUGCCGCGCUCGGCCUCGCUGUGCCUGCGCGAGGUGCUGCUCGUGCUGCAGCGCUUCAAGGCCGUGGUGGCCGACUGCGCCGCGCGGAGCCGGACGCUGCUGCUGCUGCAGUCCGACGAGACGGACGCCGAGCUGCGCGACCUGCACCACGACCUCGCCACCCUGCUCGACCUCCUGCCCGUCGUCGAGCUGGGACUCGCCGACGACGUCAUGGACCUGCUCGCCCUCGCCUCGCGCCAGUGCCGCCGCUGCGCGUCCGCCGCCGAGCCGGAGCCGGCGCUCAAGACCACCGUGCUGUCGCUGAUCGAGGAGAUCGAGCGGGAGAUCGUGCCGGAGCGGGAGAGGCUGGAGGAGAUCCUGGAAGAGGUUGGCAUCAACGACCCGGCCAGCUGCAGCGACGAGAUCGAGAGCCUCGAGCGGGAGAUCGGCGACCGAGCGUCCGAGAGAUGGACUGCCGCCAUGAUCGCCCUCGUCGGCCUCCUCCGGUACGCCAAGUGCGUCCUGUUCAGUGCCACGCCCCGGCCUUCGGAUUCCAAGGCGGACGUCGAUGUCGAAGACGACGGGGAAUCCCCGGCGCCGCCACCGGACCUGCGGUGCCCCAUCUCCCUCGAUCUAAUGCGCGACCCAGUCGUCGCCGCUAGCGGUCAGACGUACGACCGCGAGUCGAUCGACCGGUGGUUCAGCUCCGGCAAGUCAACGUGCCCCAAGACGGGGCAGGUCUUGGCCAAUCUGGAGCUGGUGCCCAACAAGUCCCUCAAGAACCUCAUCUCCAAGUGGUGCCGGGAGAACGGCGUGGCCAUGGAGGUCUGCGAGGCCAGCAAGAGCGAGCAGGCCCAGGCGGUGGCCGCGAACAAGGCGGCGCUCGAGGUGGCGCGCAUGACGGCGUCGUAUCUGGUGAAGAAGCUCUCCGUGUCCUUCUCCCCUGACGCGGCCAACCGCGUGGUGCACGAGAUCCGGCUGCUCUCCAAGUCCGGCUCGGACAACCGCGCGUUCGUCGGCGAGGCCGGAGCCGUGCCGAUGCUGGUGCCCCUGCUCUACUCCGAGGACGCCGGGCUCCAGCUCAACGCCGUGACCGCGCUGCUCAACCUCUCCAUCCUCGAGGCCAACAAGAAGCGCAUCAUGCACGCCGACGGCGCCGUCGAGGCGGUGACCCACAUCAUGAGCUCCGGCACGACGUGGCGCGCCAAGGAGAACGCCGCGGCGGCCGUGCUCAGCCUGGCGUCCGUCCACACGUACCGCCGCAGGCUCGGCCGGAACCCGUCCGUCGUGGAAAAGCUGGUCCACCUCGUGCGCACGGGCCCGACGAGCACAAAGAAGGACGCGCUGGCGGCGCUGCUGUCGCUGGCGGGCGAGAGGGAGAACGUGGGGAAGCUGGUGGAAGCCGGCGUGGCCGAGGCGGCGCUGUCGGCCAUCAGCGACGAGGAGACGGCGGCGGCGGUGCUGGCGGCAUUGGCCAAGCGAGGGGGCGCGGAGGCGAUCGUCAGCAUCGACGGCGCCGUGGCGCGGCUGGUGGCCGAGAUGAGGCGCGGCACGGAGUGGGCCCGGGAGUCGGCGACGGCGGCGCUGGUGCUGCUGUGCCGGCGGCUGGGCGCGCGGGCCGUGACGCAGGUGAUGGGCGUGGCCGGCGUGGAGUGGGCGAUCUGGGAGCUGAUGGGCACCGGCACGGACCGCGCCAGGCGGAAGGCGGCGUCGCUGGGCAGGAUCUGCCGGCGGUGGGCGGCCGCCUCCGCCGCCGACGGGGAGCGCGGCGCCGAGUGCCCCGCCUCCAGCGUGGUGCCGCCGGCCAUGAUGGCCUCGUAG